CCUGCUCAUCUGCCGCUCCCUUUGCCGCCGCCUUAGCCCGGGACCCGAACCCAGCAUCUCCCCUACCCGAACACCGGCCCCGGCUCCACCGAGGCCCCGGUCCCCCAGCCCCGUCUCGCCGCCGCCAUGGCGGACCCUAAAUACGCCGACCUUCCCGGCAUUGCCAGGAAUGAGCCAGAUGUUUAUGAAACCAGCGACCUACCUGAGGAUGAUCAAGCGGAGUUUGAUGCGGAGGAGCUGACAAGCACAAGUGUGGAACACAUCAUUGUCAAUCCUAAUGCUGCCUAUGACAAGUUCAAAGACAAGAGAGUGGGGACAAAGGGACUUGAUUUCUCAGAUCGUAUUGGAAAAACCAAGAGGACAGGAUAUGAAUCUGGAGAAUAUGAGAUGCUUGGAGAGGGUCUGGGAGUGAAGGAGACACCCCAGCAAAAGUACCAGCGCCUGCUGCAUGAGGUCCAAGAGCUAACCACUGAAGUUGAAAAAAUCAAGGUAACUACAAACUCUCUUCUCCCUUCUCUGCUGUGACUUACACAGUAGAGGAAGACCUCAAGCAAGAAGAGAAAGAUU
rnacentral:sRNA from 1 species